GGGUUGUUAGCUCAGUCGGUAGAGCAGCGGACUUUUAAUCCGUUGGUCACAGGUUCGAAUCCUGUACAACCCACCA
rnacentral:tRNA from 1 species